rnacentral:rRNA from 1 species
GUAGUCUCGCACAGAUGCAUAUCAAUAAGCGGAGGAAAAGAAACUAACAAGGAUUCCCCUAGUAACGGCGAGUGAAGCGGGAAGAGCUCAAAUUUGAAAUCUUAAAGGGUUUCCCUUUACGGAAUUGUAGUUUAAAGAAGUGUUUUCUGUUGAGGUUUUGGUAAAAGUUCUUUGGAAUAGGACAUCAUAGAGGGUGAGAAUCCCGUAUUUGACCUUUACUUUCAACUUUGUGAUACACUUUCAAAGAGUCGGAUUGUUUGGGAAUGCAGUCCAAAAUGGGUGGUAAAUUUCAUCUAAAGCUAAAUAUUGGCGAUGAGACCGAUAGCGAACAAGUACCGUGAGGGAAAGAUGAAAAGAACUUUGAAAAGAGAGUUAAACAGUACGUGAAAUUGUCAAAAGGGAAGCGUUUGACACCAGUGUUGUUUUUCUGAAAAUCAAUUAAAGAACUGUUUAUGCUAAGUUGUUUAGACUUUAUCAGCUAACUGUUUAGUUUUGAGCUUUUCUUUAAUGCACUUUUCAGUUAACAAGUCAACAUCAAUUUCUUUUGCUGUAAAAAAGCUUGAGGAAGGUGGCUUGAGAUUCGUCUUAAGUGUUUAUAGCCUCUUGCCUAUGCAGUCGGAGAGAUUGAGGUCUGCAGCGUAGAUCCUUCGGGGCUAAAUGCAUUUGUGCUAAGUUAUAGCAUUUUAUAGACAACUUGUUGACUAUGAUUUGUCUUGUAGCUUACUCGCUUAUGUUAUUUUACCUACGCUUAGGAUGUUGACAACAGUAUAGACUGU